rnacentral:misc_RNA from 1 species
AAUUCUCAACCUUACUUGCUUUUGCUUGUGAGGCUUGGACGUGAGGGCUUGCUGGCUUCCUUCAGUGGAUGGUCUGCUCCCUUUAAAUGCAUUAGUGGGAUCCUUUGUGGACGGUCACUUGGUGUGAUAAUUAUCUACGCCGCUUGGCUGUGAAGCAAGACUUGUGGGAACCUGCUCAUAACCGUCGAAAGACAGCCAUUGACA